GGGCAAUCCGUUGACUAUGUGACAGAAAUGCUGGAGAAAGCCAGAAAGAGGAUCUGCGUGGGAGGUGGAAAAAGCGUGGGCUGAGCUUGCAGCAACCAGAAGGCGCCACACACGUGUGCGAGGAACCGCGGCGCUCGCUGUGGGCUGACAGGAAGCACCGCCCCACUCGGACACACCAAGUUUUCUCUUAAGCAGUUUCAAACCCAGCGCGCUUUCCAUGCGUAAGUAUAAAUGAGGUGGGUGUCAAAUAACCGUAGCGCUUGUUCGGAUUUCUAUCUUUUCUCUUCUUGGUUCUAGCUCCUGUGUAGAGUAUGCCCACCUCUACCACAGCUCUCCCAUUUUCCUAACGCUUUCCUGGGCGGGGUUUCUGGGCCCCGCCCACCGAGGGCCCGCCCAGUAGCCUCCCCGGGGCGGGGCUCCCCUCGGCGCCAGACUGCCCUUUUCCCCUGCGGUCUCUGCCCCGGCUGCAGUGUCCCUACCGAGCUCCGGACACAUGCCGGUGAGUAAGGGCAAAGUGGGGAGAAGCCUUGGAGGUUUACCAGCCAGGGGCGAGAGACAGUGGUUGGGAGGCCUCUUCCGAGGCACGGGACGAAACUGGGGCUCGUUCCCUAGUGACCGCAGGUUUGGAGGGCAUCUUGAAGAAAUGCUGAGGGAUCGUACCCCUAGAAUCCCGCCUGUUUUCUACCAUCCCUGCUGUCCCUGGAGAGUUGCCGAGAGUCGGUGUCGCGGAGCCCUGGUCCCCAGGCACCAGGGCCAGGGACUUGGGAAGAGCAUCCAGCUGUGAACUUUUGAGCAGAUGGAGCCCCAGGAUGACUCAAAAGUAGGGCAUCCUUGGCCCUCCUGAAGAGAGGAAAUUAGUGGCAAGUGGACCAUCUACCUGUAUGGCGUUAUCAG
rnacentral:lncRNA from 1 species